ACAAGUUGUGCAAGGCGAGUCUGCUUUUUUGCCCAUACUACUGAGGAGCUUAGGCCCUUGUAUGUUUCUACUGGAUCUGCAGUUCCAUCUCCUCGGUCAGCUGCUUCUGCAGCCACUGUGAUGGACAUGGCUGCAGCACUGAACCUUUUUCCUGCCUCGCCCUCAUCACACUCUGUGAUGUCUCCUCCUGCUUUCAACCAACCCUGCUUCUGCAGCUACUGUGAUGGACAUGGCUGCAGCACUGAACCUUUUUCCUGGCUCGCCCUCAUCACACUCUGUGAUGUCUCCUCCUGCGUUCAACCAACCCAUGUCCCCUACUGCCAAUGGAAUAUCUCAUCCAUCUGCACCAUGGCCUCAGCCAAAUGUCCCUGCUCUUCAUCUACCUG
rnacentral:lncRNA from 1 species